GGUUGUUCCGAAAGCUGUGGGUUAUCCAAAUCAUUCUGUUAGUAUCACUAACUUUCUAUUUCACCCCAUUGCUGACCUUGACCGCCAUUU
ensembl:Y_RNA Y_RNA Y RNA